rnacentral:rRNA from 1 species
AGACUUCUCAUUUGGUAGCAUGCGUACUGUGUAUUUGAUAUGUAUUUCAUUUGAUACGUAGCAAGCCGGCUCAUUUUGACCCCUCAACCUUCAGAGAUAAGGUCUUCCUGUGAGAGUCGACCAUCUCCUCGUUCGUCCAGAUCCACUCCAUGGCGAUAUGUGCUACAAGCAUACAAAUAUGAGAAAGAUGCUUCAUAAAUUGUAUUGUCACAUCAAUUCCUAAGAGCAGUCCAAUGAACUGUAGUGGGUGCAUGGAGGAAUUGGCAAACUUUAUUGACAGCAAAUGAGAUAUCAGGUCUUGUAAGUGUUAAAUAUUGAAGUGCACCUACUAGACUUCUGUAUUUUGUGCUGUCAUCUUGGCUCAAGGGCUGCCCUUUUGUAAGAGAUAGCUUUUCAGAACUAGACAAUGGAGUGGGUGAGGGUUUACAACCUUGUAAGCCAGCUUUCUUCACCAAGUUUGUUGCAUACUUUUCUUGGGAGAGAUGAAUACCAUUCUCAUGCUUCUUUACUUCUAUUCCCAGAAAAUAAUGCAACUCUCCAAGAUCCUUGAGAGCAAACUCUGCACUAAGAUCUUUCAAAAGUCCUAUGACAGUCUCAUCAGAUGAACUUGUAACAAUAAUAUCAUCAACAUAUAUGAGAACAAAUAUGUGUGUGUUGCAUUUAUUGUAGAUGAACAAUGAGGUGUCAGACUUAGAAGGGACAAAACCAAGUGUUUGCAUUUUUUGACUGAAUCGGGAAUACCACGCCCUAGGAGCUUGCUUCAACCCAUAUAGUGCCUUAUCAAGUUUGCACACGUGAGAAGGUGCAUUCUUGUUUUCAAACCCAGGAGGUUGUUUCAUGUACACUUCCUCUUCCAGAACACUAUGAAGAAACGCGUUCUGUACAUCAAGUUGUCUGAGACUCCAGCCUCUAGAAACUGCAAUAGACAACACAAGACGAAUGGUGGCAGCUUUUACAACAGGACUAAAGGUGUCCUCGUAGUCUAUGCCAUACCGUUGUUUAAAGCCCUUUGCCACAAGUCUUGCUUUGUAGCGAUCUAUGGUUCUAUCAGAUUUUCUCUUGAUCCUAAAAACUCACUUACAAUCAAUAAGAUUUUUACCUUUCUGUGGGGAACCAAGUGCCAGGUUUUAUUUUUUUCAGAGCCAUGUAUUCUUCAUUCAUGGCUUUUCUCCAAUGUUCAUCACCAAGUGCUUCUUCAAGUGUAUAAGGUUCACCUGGUUCACCUGUUGAACAAAUGAUACCGUAUUUUGUUACAUGUUUGUAAUCAACAGGUUGAAUUACCCCUUUUUGCAGCCAUGUACGCCGUGGUGACUGCAAAGAGGAUCCCGUGCUGCGUACAGGAGUUUCUGCAUGCACCGAUCUCAAGGAGGAUUCGGGGACAGCAGCGGUGUCCAGCGGCGACAGAUCUUCUGUGGCAGGGGACGAAGCAGCGACGCGCACGGGCGAAGCAGCAGUCGUCACAGAAGAUCUGGGCUCAUCAUUGCCCGUGGCCCUCCUGGCGCCAGCAGCGGAGUCCACGCCAGCAGUGGUUGGGCCCGCGCCGGUCGGGCGAUGCAGGUCGCGCCGCUUGUAGCAGACCGGUUGGACCGGAAAGCGAGCGCGCGUCGAGCCAGUCGGAGGUGGCCACGCGGUCGAGCGGGGUUGGUGCUGGGCGAGGGGCGCGGUGUCAGGCACAGGAGCGGCCCGGUCGGGCACAGCCGAGAUGCGGGUGGGAGCUGACCCCGAGGCAGAUCCGCGCAGCCUGUCGACGAAUGCAGAUCCCGGGGCGGAUUCUGUCGGCCCUGCACACACCGAUCCCGAGGGGGAUUUGUUCCCCGAGCUGGGGCACAUGAAAUAUGGUGUUGUAGCACCAUUUUCUUCAGGAUUUUCACCGAUUUCUUCAGAGUUUCCGUUCCCAGAUGCAUCUGCACUAUCUCCUGUAUCAUCACACAACUCAUGCAACGUGGUGAGUGUUGGGGAACGUAGUAAUUUCAAAAAAAAAUCCUACGCACACGCAAGAUCAUGGUGAUGCAUAGCAACGAGAGGGGAGAGUGUUGUCCAUGUACCCUCAUAG